GGCUUCCUGGCUCAGUUGGUUAGAGCGUGGUGCUGAUAAUGCCAAGGUUGCUGGUUUGACAGCUGCAUAUUCCUGCAUUGCAGGGGGUUG
rnacentral:tRNA from 1 species